AUACGGAGGGUGCAAGCGUUACUCGGAAUCACUGGGCGUAAAGCGCGCGCAGGCGGGCUGAUAAGUUGGAUGUGAAAGCCUACGGCUCAACCGUAGAACUGCAUCCAAAACUGUCAGUCUAGAGUCUGCGAGGGGAAGAUGGAAUUAGUGGUGUAGGGGUAAAAUCCGUAGAGAUAACUAGGAAUACCAAAAGCGAAGGCGAUCUUCUGGAACAGUACUGACGCUGAGGCGCGAAAGCGUGGGGAGCAAACAGGAUUAGAAACCCUAGUAGUCC
rnacentral:rRNA from 1 species